rnacentral:rRNA from 1 species
UACGUAGGGUGCGAGCGUUAAUCGGAAUUACUGGGCGUAAAGGGUGCGCAGGCGGUCCUGCAAGUCAGGCGUGAAAAUCCCCCGGGCUUUAACCUGGGAAUGGCACUUGAAACUACGGGACUGGAGUAUGGCAGAGGGAGGUGGAAUUCCACGUGUAGCGGUGAAAUGCGUAGAGAUGUGGAGGAACACCGAUGGCGAAGGCAGCCUCCUGGGCCAAUACUGACGCUCAUGCACGAAAGCGUGGGGAGCAAACAGG